CGGGUAGAGUAAUGCGUGACCAACCUGCCCCAUGCUCCAGAAUAGCUCUUGGAAACGGGUGGUAAUGCUGGAUGCUCCAACUUGACGCAUGUCUUGUUGGGAAAGUGUUUAGUGGCAUGGGAUGGGGGUCGCGUCCUAUCAGCUUGUAGGCGGGGUAAUGGCCCACCUAGGCUUCGACGGGUAGCCGGCCUGAGAGGGCGGACGGCCACAUUGGGACUGAGAUACGGCCCAGACUCCUACGGGAGGCAGCAGCA
rnacentral:rRNA from 1 species